rnacentral:rRNA from 1 species
UACGAAGGGGGCUAGCGUUGUUCGGAUUUACUGGGCGUAAAGCGCACGUAGGCGGAUCGUUAAGUCGGGGGUGAAAUCCUGGAGCUCAACUCCAGAACUGCCUUCGACACUGGCGAUCUUGAGUCCGGAAGAGGUGAGUGGAACUCCUAGUGUAGAGGUGGAAUUCGUAGAUAUUAGGAAGAACACCAGUGGCGAAGGCGGCUCACUGGUCCGGUACUGACGCUGAGGUGCGAAAGCGUGGGGAGCAAACAGG